UCUGGGGGUGCCCGCUCAUUUGAACGGUGCUGAGAUUAUACCCUAAAACCUGAUCCGGGUAAUGCCGGCGUAGGUAGGAUAAGAUU
rnacentral:ncRNA from 1 species